CCUACGGGAGGCAGCAGUGGGGAAUAUUGGACAAUGGGGGGAACCCUGAUCCAGCGACGCCGCGUGAGUGAAGAAGUAUUUCGGUAUGUAAAGCUCUAUCAGCAGGGAAGAAAGAAAUGACGUUACCUGACUAAGAAGCCCCGGCUAACUACGUGCCAGCAGCCGCGGUAAGACGUAGGGGGCAAGCGUUAUCCGGAUUUACUGGGUGUAAAGGGAGUGUAGACGGCGAAGCAAGUCUGAAGUGAAAGGCGGGGGCCCAACCCCCGGACUGCUUUGGAAACUGUAUGGCUGGAGUGCAGGAGAGGUAAGUGGAAUUACUAGUGUAGCGGUGAAAUGCGUAGAUAUUAGGAGGAACACCAGUGGUGAAGGCGGCUUACUGGACUGUAACUGACGUUGAGGCUCGAAAGCGUGGGGAGCAAACAGGAUUAGAUACCCUUGUAGUC
rnacentral:rRNA from 1 species